rnacentral:misc_RNA from 1 species
GGUAAAGAAUAUUCUAAUCCAUACCGUUGCUGAUUAAUUGUUCACCAAUACCCCAUCUUUUAAGCGCAAGCACACAAGCCAAAGUAGAGGAAAGAACAUCUUUAAGUAAGAGGGGUUGGUGAUGCGGAAGGCCCCAUGAUCCAUCUUCAAGUUGAUUAUGCAACACCCAGUGUAGGCACUCAGGGAAACAUGGGACUUUAGCAGAAUGUGGAGAAGGGACCAUUGCAACCCAGGCAGUAUCGUAUGAAGAAACGGAAAAUUCAACUUUAUGGAACAGUUUCCUAAUUCUUUCUUUGGUCGUCUCAUUGCAUUGAAGAGCAAAAUCCGGUCCUCGGGUGGCAUCAACUACACAAGCGGUGGAACUGGAAUGCUGGGUGAAACUCAAACCCCCACCCAGGCGGCGACUAGGAAUAGUGAUGUCACGAAUCAUCUGAUGCUUAACAACUGAAAGAUAAGAAGAAGAGGAGGAGGCGGCAGGAAAAAUAAUGGUAGCAGAC